rnacentral:rRNA from 1 species
UACGGGGGGGGCAAGCGUUGUUCGGAAUCACUGGGCGUAAAGGGCGCGUAGGCGGCCCGCUAAGUUAGAUGUGAAAACUCUGGGCUCAACCCAGAGCCUGCAUCUAAUACUGACGGGCUAGAGUUCCGGAGGGGGUAGCGGAAUUCCUGGUGUAGCGGUGAAAUGCGUAGAUAUCAGGAGGAACACCGGUGGCGAAGGCGGCUACCUGGACAGAGUCUGACGCUGAGGCGCGAAAGCUAGGGGAGCAAACAGG